rnacentral:rRNA from 1 species
UUGAACGCUGGCGGCAUGCCUUACACAUGCAAGUCGAACGGUAACGCGGGGCAACCUGGCGACGAGUGGCGAACGGGUGAGUAAUGCAUCGGAACGUGCCCAACAGUGGGGGAUAGCCCGGCGAAAGCCGGAUUAAUACCGCAUACGACCUGAGGGUGAAAGCGGGGGACCGUAAGGCCUCGCGCUGUUGGAGCGGCCGAUGUCAGAUUAGGUUGUUGGUGGGGUAAAAGCCUACCAAGCCGACGAUCUGUAGCUGGUCUGAGAGGACGACCAGCCACACUGGGACUGAGACACGGCCCAGACUCCUACGGGAGGCAGCAGUGGGGAAUUUUGGACAAUGGGCGCAAGCCUGAUCCAGCCAUGCCGCGUGCGGGAUGAAGGCCUUCGGGUUGUAAACCGCUUUUGUCAGGGAAGAAACGCUCCGGGCCAACACCCUGGGGUAAUGACGGUACCUGAAGAAUAAGCACCGGCUAACUACGU